rnacentral:rRNA from 1 species
UACGAAGGGGGCUAGCGUUGCUCGGAAUCACUGGGCGUAAAGCGCACGUAGGCGGGUCGUUAAGUCAGGGGUGAAAUCCUGGAGCUCAACUCCAGAACUGCCCUUGAUACUGGCGAUCUUGAGUUCGGGAGAGGUGAGUGGAACUGCGAGUGUAGAGGUGAAAUUCGUAGAUAUUCGCAAGAACACCAGUGGCGAAGGCGGCUCACUGGCCCGAUACUGACGCUGAGGUGCGAAAGCGUGGGGAGCAAACAGG